UUUAAAAAGCAAGUUAAAAGUAUUUCAUCAGAAUUUUAUUGUGAAAGAUCAAGUUGGAAGUAUUUCAUCGGUGUUUUACUGUGAAAGGUUAAAAAGGAUCUGCUUUGCAUUGUGGGACAGAGAUGCUCAUAUGUACACACGCAGAGAGAAGCAGACACAUGGUGACAGCAUUCCUCCUGUUACGUUUUUUCCUACACCCGCGAAAGCAAUGGCUUUUCACUCAUAAGUUUUCACCUGUCAUCCAUGAGAUGCUAAUAAAGGAGCAAGGCGCUCGCUUCCUGGCUCGUGAAAACCGA